rnacentral:rRNA from 1 species
AAUCUGCCCUCCAUUUGGGGAUAACUCCGGGAAACCGGGGCUAAUACCGAAUAUUGAAACAUAAGUGGCAUCACUGAGUUUUGAAAGAAUUUCCGUGGGGGAUGACUUCGCGGCCUAUCAGCUUGUUGGUGAGGUAAUGGCUCACCAAGGCGACGACGGGUAGCCGGCCUGAGAGGGCGACCGGCCACACUGGGACUGAGACACGGCCCAGACUCCUACCGGAGGCAGCAGUGGGGAAUAUUGGGCAAUGGACGCAAGUCUGACCCAGCGACGCCGCGUGCGGGAUGAAGGCCUUCGGGUUGUAAACCGCUUUCAACAGGGAAGAAGCGAAAGUGACGGUACCUGCAAAAGAAGCACCGGCUAACUAUGUGCCAGACAGCCGCGGUAAUACAUAGGGUGCAAGCGUUGUCCGGAAUUAUUGGGCGUAAAGAGCUCGUAGGUGGUUAGUUACGUCGGGUGUGAAACUCUGGGGCUCAACCCCAGACCUGCACUCGAUACGGGUUAGCUAG